UCAAUCCCUACCGCUGCUUCACUUCUUCAUAAAAAAAAACACGAAGAUUCAUCAACAAAAUCCAUCAAAAACAUCAAAUCUUCUCUACUCUCAUCAUCAACACCAACUGAAAACGAAGAUUCAUUAGAAACAUCUGUCCUUCCUUGAUGAUUUGUUCUGAAUCGACGAAGAACCUUGAUGAUUUUUUCUGAAUCGACGAAGAAAUGUGAAUUUUAGGGAUUUAUCAAAUGGGAGUUUCAGGGAUUUAUCUUUAAGCUUGAAGACGUUAUUGUUACAAUUGAAAAAGUUGGAACUCUGAAGAACUUUGCUAAUCAUUUAGUUUUACCCACAAUUUCGAUUCAAGAACAGAAUGAGAAAUCAUGUGAAUGGCAGGCUGUGUCUUUAAUGUUCAGUUUCUGCUCAAAUCACUUAAAAGGUAUAUCACUUAUGUAAAUCUGGACUUGUCACAGAACAAGAAUGCAAGGCGGCUUUACGAAAGGAACUAGGGCUUCCAGUAAGGCCUGAUGUCCCAUCGGUAAGAUGUAUGGAAGACUGGAUGAAGGCAACAGAGGCAGUUUAUAAGGACAAAUACCAAGGUUGGGUUUGGAUGUAAUGUACCUUUUUCUCACAGAAUACCUAAAGCUGCAGACGUUGUGGGAGGAUAUCAACUUAAUGGUAAAUUUUGGAGAGGUGUAGGAUGUUGCAACUCCUUUCAAUUACCUUGCCGCCUUGUUGAUUUUACAAGAGAGACAAUUCCUUGCAGGCUGUGCUGAAUGUAUGCAUUGAGAUACUCGCGGCUGUAUAUGAAGAGGAUGGAGUGGCUCGUUGGCAGAUCACAUGGUUGAGCAUCCACAAAAUGAGAGAUCAGAACACUGCAUCAAUGAUAAGCAUUUGGGAGGUACAAGCAGGUUUUUGGAGGACAGUUGGUUGGACAGGCAUGCUUUUACCAUUCUAUUUUACUUUCACUUGUCACAGUUUGCUAUCGCUCUGAAGACAUUAGCUGCAGCAUCAAAGACUGUUGAUUGCUGCAAGCUUGUUCAUAGUUUGCACAAUUAUUUUCUACUAACCGAGGUUCUUGGCAGUAAGUUGACCAUACUCAGAUCCUUUUAGACAAUCAAUUUUAUUACUUUUCUUCUUGAAGCUCUACUUGUCAGUUUUUAACUCGUUGUGGCAGGUCGUGGCUGAUCAUGUUUUACUUAAAGUAAUUGUUGGACGAUUCUUUUCUUUAGGUUUUAAACAUUUUAUACAAACAGUAAUCAAAAUAUUGGCUUUGUCUCAUUGUUUACCAAAUUGGUCUGAUUUACUUGAAAUCUUUUCAUUGUUAGUUGAAGCAGACACCUAAAAGAUGGGAGGUGCAGAAAUUGUUUAAGGGAAUUUGCUGGUAAAUCCCUAUGAUAAUUCAGUUUGGUUCAAGAUGUGGUUCUUCAUCUUCUACAUUUUAUCCUAUUCCAGGCAGUAGCUGAGAGUUUACUGGAAUGGAGGGGGUCUGUGGUACCAGUAGGGCUGUUCAUGGUCGGUUUUGGUUCGGUUUCUAGCCAAACCAAAACCGAAAUCAAUACUAUUGGUUUCUAAAAAUCUAAACCAAACCAAUCCAUAAACCAUUGGUUUGGUUUCCAAAUGGUUCCAGUUGGUUUCGGUUUGUCCCAGUGGUUUUUGGUUAACCAAUAAUUAUGUCAAACCAAAAAAAAAAAAAAACACAAAUUUACAGAUAAAAAAAUCGUAGUUGCCGAUACUAUUGGUUUACACAAAUUUACAGACAAA